GGGGGGGAUAUAUCACUGUUUUAAUUUGAGGUGAUCGGAAAUCUUAGAUCUUCAUUUUAAGAAAUAUGGAGGGAAAUGGAAAGAGUCUUAUGAGAAUAAUAUCAGUGAUGUUAAUAGUGGGAAUGUUUAUGGGACAAAUUUCAGCAGAUUCUGUAUCAGAUUAUCUAGCUUGUUUUAAACCAUGUUAUUAUAAUUGUAUGAACCCAAACCCUGAGGAUAAAAAGCUUUCUGAUACAUGUCUUAAUAUUUGUGGUCUCGCGUGCAUUAAAAAAUCACCACUGGAUAAUAGCCACCGUAAGACCCUUGCUAAUUGAAAGAAAGAGGUUUACCGACUCAGGAAUAAUACUGCUUCCUGACCUGCUAAAGAAAAGUUAUCCAGAUAACUCAUAUUAGUUAUUAUAUAAUAAAAUGAAUAAUUUCAAGAAGAAAUGGUUGUAUCAAGUUCAAGAACUGUUAUGAAAUCUCAAAUUUAUCACAUAAUAUCAUGUGAAGAUAAUCUUUAAGGUUAUAUGAAAGGAAGAAUUUUAUUACUAUAUAUUUUAGUUGAUUAAUAUCUUGCAAGCAAUCAAAUUAAUAUGCUAAA